AAAGGUGGGGACAACUGGCAGUCAGGGACCCAGGCGCCCUAACUCCUGGAGCUUACUCCAGGCAAGAUGACAGGGAAGAUGUCUGUGAGCCCUGGCCUCAGCACCCCCAGCAACAGCCACUAGUCAACCAGUUUGCUUCUGGGACCAAAGGAGUGAGAGUCAGUGUGCGGUUUGGGAGAAAAUGUGUCGGAUAUUUUGGGGCGGUCACGUGGGCGGGCGGGCUCCGGGAGGCCCCGGGACAGUCCCAGCCUAGAGCCGUGCCCCCCCAGGAGCCCCCCAGUACGGCGAGCCCCGGACAUUGCGACGCUCCAUCUAAGAGACCGCCUGACGCCGGGACCUCGGGGCUCCGCCGCCUCCCUUCCCCCUCCCACUCCAGCAGCUACGGCCCAGUUCCCUCAACCUGACCCAGUAUGUAGGAGCCAGUCUCUGCAGGCGGCCAGCCGGACUUUUGGAGGCCCAGUGGGCAGGCCAGGCAGGGCGGGUACGGAGCCUCCCAGGCUGGGGCAGUGGGCAUGGGCAGGGGCUGUGGCUGAAGACCUCCCCCGCCCACUGCAGACCCCAGGGGACUCCCACAC
rnacentral:sRNA from 1 species